rnacentral:rRNA from 1 species
UACGAAGGGGGCUAGCGUUGCUCGGCAUCACUGGGCGUAAAGCGCACGUAGGCGGACUCUUAAGUCGGGGGUGAAAUCCUGGAGCUCAACUCCAGAACUGCCUUCGAUACUGGGAGUCUUGAGUUCGGGAGAGGUGAGUGGAACUGCGAGUGUAGAGGUGAAAUUCGUAGAUAUUCGCAAGAACACCAGUGGCGAAGGCGGCUCACUGGCCCGAUACUGACGCUGAGGUGCGAAAGCGUGGGGAGCAAACAGG